CUAGAACUCACAAAACUGUAAGAUCAUGACCUGAGCUGAAACCAGAGUCAGAAGCUCAACCGACUGAGCCACCCACGCACCCCGUUUUCUUCCUGUUCUUUUCCUAUUCUUAAAAAUCUCAAUUUAAGUAUCAACUCCUCAAAACAAUUUCUCAGAUAUCAACCCAGACUAGUUUUCUCUCUCACAGCAAUUUGUACUUCUCAUUUAAAAAACUUAUCAAUAGCAAUUAACAAUCAUUCAUUUAUUUGUUUCUUCAAUAUUUGUAUAACCUUGUUUAUUUUAAACCCUAUGAAGGCAAGGUGUGUGUUUGUGUUGACUGCUAUUGCCCAUUCUGAGCAGAGAAAGGUGAGCUCAUACUUUAUAUAGAUAUUUAUGUAAGAGAAGGAGGUUAAAUUAAAGAAAUGUAGAAACAAAUGGAAGGAGAAAGGAAGUAUUUACCAUUCUACUUAGUACCCUCAGGACGGUGGGAGAUCCCACUAAAGAAUUUACAAGGCAAUGCAGCAAGAACAAUGGGUUAGACUGUUUUGCCAUAUGGUCCCAUAGCAUCUCUUUCUACUGCUUUCAUACUCAGUAUAUUUGAAAUUAAUUGUUUAUUGUUCAUUCUCUCCAGUGAAUUUUAUGGUUCAUGGGAAAAAGGACCCCCUUCAUCUCCUUUACAAGUUUAUUCCCAGGGCCUAGCACUGUAUCUGACAAAAGUUGUGAUUGAAUUGAAUUAUUAAUAAAGCAUGAUUUAUAAUCUUUUGUUAAUUAGAUGAUCAAGUUGCCUACUCAGAAAUUAAAUCCUUAGUUAAAUCUGUUCUUUAGCCUCUUAAUCGAAAUGGGCUCUCAUGUUUUAUAUCAGUUGAUUUAAUAAAUGAUGUGUUUGUAUAUUCAUUCAUUUCAAUUGUCAGGUCAUCAGACAUAACCCUUUCACCUACUAUUUAUUUGCUUCUCUAACCUUCAGAAAGGAGUAUGUUCAGAACAGCUUAAUCAGGUUUUAGCACAAGAAAGUGGGGACCUAAUUUGGCCUCUUGGUGCAUAUAAACAAGUAGGGUCUUUUAAUCUACUAUCCCUUCAUCUGACAUAUAAAGUUUGAUAAAUAGAGCCAUAAUUUUUGGAGAUUAUAACAUUCAUUAUCCUUUUUGCUUAUCUUCAGUAGCAGGGUUUUUUUUUUUCCCUUUUUCAAGAGCUAUUUUCCUUUUGGAAAGGCUGUUUAUUUCUCACAGAAUACUUUUAAAGCAAAUGUCAUGUGGGGAUAUCACCAGGUAACCUUAAAGCAAGGCUUUUUUUUUUUUACCACAACUUUAUUUUAUGGAGUGCUUUUGGAGGAAAAGCCAUCUCAAAGCACUGUCAAAAUUGGAAACAAAACAAAAGUCACACAGAAAAAUCAAUGAUCUUUCAAAUAAUCCAAGAUUAAAUCAAAUCAAACUAGCUUGAAGCUUAAACUUUAAAGCCAGUCAGAAUUUGGCUCACCUGAGAGGCCCAAUAGAGACUAACUUCUGGACACUUGUGUUGCAACAGGAGGCAUCCUCUGGGUAAUAAUUAAUGAUUUGUCCAAAGUCUGAAUGAACAUUUAGAAUCCGCUUAUAAAACAAACAGUGGAAAAAAAAAAAGAGCAAACUAACAAUUCAAUUUAGAACUAUGUACUUUGUUUUUAUUAGUCAAUUUAAAUAAGAACCUUGUUUUUGAAUUUUGCUUUGCAUUUAACAGUGAUUAGGUAGGAUUGUCUCAGCUGUAAAGAGUCAGCCAAAGAGUUUCUGUUCUCUUUGCUCAAGAGCAAAAUUGCUUUACAUGUGAUGUCCAACGAUAGAAAAGAAAAAUAUUACUGGAAGCUGGAGAUUUGUUCCUAUCCUCUAGACAAUUGCCAGAAUUAAAUAAAAUUAAAAAUACGUGUUCACAAUAUGUCUAGAAUAUAUUUUUAUUGUUUAUAUAUGAUCAAAUAUUUUGAUCUGCUUUAAGCAUAUAGGUCAUUGAUAAUAAAAUUACAUACAUCAGUAGAUUAUAAAGAACAACUUGUAACUGAGAAGUACCUUGUUUGGAAUAAUAUUUUCAGCAACAUGGUAUAUACCUACCUAUAACUUCUUUUGUAUAUGUUAACAUAAUAUCAAAAAAUACUCAUGAAUAUAUGUAUGAGAAAUAUUUUCAUAAUAAUUUAAUGCCAGCAUCAAUAAUUCUAUUCUUCUUAUUCCAUAGAUCUGACUUUAUUGGUAUUUUUUCAUCAGUUACUAUAGUCUCUUUAGUUAGGAAAUAAAUUUCUAAAUUUAUUUAGAACCAAUUUACAUCUUCAUAGACUAAGUUUUAUAAAAUAGACCCUUGCUAUCAAGAAAGAACAUUAUUGUUGUUGUGGGCAAAAUAAUAGCUCCCCAAAUGUGUCUGCAUCUUAAUCCUUGUGAAUAUGCUAAUUUACCCAGGAAAAGUGAAGAAGAAUCUUAGAUGGUUGAUUAUCUUGGGGUUAUCCAGGUGGACCCAAUUUAAUCAAGAGGUUUCUUAUAAAAGGAAGGCAGGAGUGUCUGGGUCAGGAAGGGAGGUUGGUAAUGCUACACUGCUGGUCUUAUUGGUGGAGGAAGGGGUCAUGAGUCAAGGAAUGCAGGUGACUGGCUUCUAGAAGCUGGGAAAUUUAAGGAAACAGAUUCUUCCCCCCCGAAGUACUGCGGCUUUCCUGAAAGUUCCAUUUGAACUCAGAGAAACCUGUUUCAGAGUUCUGACCUCCUGCACGAUAAUGAAUUUGUGUUGUUUUGAAGCCACUAAGUUUGUGGUAAUUUGUUACAGCACUAAUAGAAAACUAAUACAAUUGUCUAAUAAAAAGAAUAAAAGUUUUAAGAAUAGUACAGUAUUGAAAGCUUGUUUGCUAUAUGCUAAGACCAAUGUGAAGCACUUUUCAGGAAAUAUCUCCUUUCAUAUAUACAAUAACACUGUAAAAUACUUAUUAUUAAUUAUUAUUCCCAUUUUAUAGAUGUGGAAAUGUGUCUUAUUAAGGAAAAGAAUCGCAUCUAAAACAUGCAAAAUUAACAAGUGGAAGAGGUGCGAUUUGAACACAUAAGGAUCUAAUUCUUCUAGUCAAAUAGUACGGUUUGAGAAUAAAAGAAAAUUCUAGUAGUCUCCUUUAAUCCUAAAUAACUUUGGCUCUUUUAUUAAUUAUGUUGUUCUUAAAACAGCUUGGAUACUAAAAAUGUCUGGCCGGAUGGAAUACAUGAAUCACUAGAGGAGAACUGAAUGUGACUUUCUUUUUAUUCAUUUAACACAUCCACAAUGAGAACAUCCACUGUAAGAGUCUAUCCUGGAACUGUACAGAAAAAUGGAUGUUAAGAAAUGUACUUACCGUCUUCUCCUCUGCAACCUUAGAAGGAAGCACUGGUGAUAGCAACUUGCCAACAGGAAUGUCACCCAUAAGUCCACUAAUGGUAUACGGAAGAAGCAUUGCAGAUAUGAAGACAAAUCCAUAUUCAGACUAAAUGUCUUUCCCAGGAAAGAGAAGUCACUGCUCCUGCCAUGAAAGUUUUAGUCUAUUGUAAACAUCCUCUCUUGUGGUGGCUGGCAUAUCCUCCAGGGGUGUCAUUUCUUCAUUCAGCAAUAUGGUAGCCAGAUCAGCAUUGAUAGCACUUCCACUUGAUGAUGGAGAGUUUCUGUGCAUUUCCAGCGCCAUGGCUUGAAAGGUCUGAGAGUGGAGCCCUCAUGAAUGGGAUUAGAGCUUCCUAGCUCUUUUGAUCAUGUUUUAAUACAAUGAGCCUGAGUGAGACUUGGAGGAGGAUCCUCAUCGGACCAUGUUGGUGUUGCAGGAUUUUUUACCACAAGACCUGGGAUUCAUUGUUGCAGCUUUGAAGAAUGAAGAGAAGGAUUGUGGACCAAGUUAUCACCAGCUAACACCAAAAGACUCAGCGUAAAUCAGUACCAGUAGAUCAAUUUUUUAACAUAUACUACUGUUUUCAAGGUGCUGCUGCUGUUAACAAACCACCUGUAUCCAUCAAAAGUUGAUUCACAAAGAUUGAAGACGAGGUCUCAACCCUGAUUGAAAUGAAAUGUCAGCAAGGAUAAGAGAAGAAAGAUGGAGAUUGUAUUAAAAAGAGAAACUAUGUUCAGAAAUAAGCUUUGGGACAUACAAGAAUCUAAAAUGGCAUCUAUAUCCAGCAGAGCAAAUUCAUGGGGUCUAGAAAACUAGGUUAGUUUGUCUUUUUGAAGCACUUGUUGAAUUCAGAGUUGAAUCUGAACAUAAAUGGAUUUAAAAGAGAAUCCUUUUUAUUGAUUUCCAAGGUAAGAUGACAUAUGAGGAAGAGAAGUAGAAAGGAAUAAAAAUUGCUAAGGCUGUAAAAGCUUGUUAUUUUCUUUCUUUCUCAAAGUUUUCAGUAUAAGUAUAAAUUAUAUACAUUAAUCUACUUUAAGAAGUUGUUUGCAGUAUGCCAUCCUGAGAAAAUUGGCCAUUAAUUUCCUUGAUUUUCUUCAUAUCAACUCCUGCCUUAUUCUGCACAUCAGAGACUAUAAAAUGACUAGGAGUUCAGACUCCCACUGACACCCCAAUUUGGACACAAGGACAAGAGAUUUAGAUUUUUAAGGAGGCAGUGGGGGAUGCUGAAAAGAACAUUGCAUUAGUCCUGAAAGUGUAGGUUUUCAUUUCAACUAUGACAAUUCAAGCAGUGUGAUCUUGAAAAAAUCUCACCCUCUGUGAACCUCACUUUUCUCAGUUAUAAAAUGGGGAGAAUAAUUCCUAAUGUUUCCCUGAUUAACUCCAAAUAUUGGAUUCAAUUUUUAAAUUAUGUGGGAAUGUGAAGCACGGUACAAAUUUGGCAUUUUACUAUUUUGGAAUGUACAAUUUUAAAAGUCUAUCAUCUCACUGUCUCUCAUGUAAUCAACCUUCCUUCAAUCUCACCUUGUAAACUGUCCUCAGAGAUCACUUCCUGGUGUGUAAUACCAUACCAACCUCACCGCUCAGCUCAACUCCAACCACCAUACCAACCUCACCGCUCAGCUCAACUCCAAUUAGGGUACAUGACAAUUCUUUCUCCUCUAUAUCAUUAUCUUCACAGUUCUUUUACAAUGAUAUAUUUUCCCUUAAAUUUUCUUAGAUACCUAUAUCCUUUGUUGAAUUAACUGGUACUGCUUUUUUAAAUAUCCAAACCAAAUUCCUCAGAGUAUUGUUCAAUUGAAUUCAUUUUUUAAUUCAUUUUCUCUCUUACACUCAUUCAUUCAUAGCUUAUAGUCUCCAUCAUAAAAAUAACAGUCAACAUAAUGAGGGUAAAAAUCAAAUACUCUACUGUAUGAACAAAAUAUUAUCUUUUCUAUCAGUUCUACGCCAAAAAUGCCCAAAGAAGAAUCAUAGAGUAUAUUCAUGGAAUUUACCUCUGUGAAUUCAAAAACAAAUUCGGACUAAAUGAAAGUAAAAGGAAACGAUACAGUUAGCUCAAGGGAUAAUUUAAAACAUCAACUGAUUAAUAUUCAAUAGUUAGGACACUUUCUUAAAGCACAAUUUGUCAUAAAAUCCAUCCUUCUAAUGUUUAAAUUUAGAAUAAAAUUAAAAGAAAUAUAAUUUCACAUUUUAGAAUAUUACUGGAAAAUGAAAAUAUUCUCCAAUGCUCAUAUGGAAGGUGUUGAGAACUAAGUUAGGAAAUUUCCUACUUAAACCUCAAUUUUAUUAGUUAAAAAUGAUACAAUUAUUUUUCCAACAUACUAUGUAUGAUGCUAUUGUUUAGAAUUUUUUUAGAAAGAUGUGAAUAUAAACAGACCAUUAAAAUAAUAAAAGCUAACAAUUUUUAUGUA